UUAAGAUCUCAAAAGCAAUCCAAAAUUAGGAACUCUUACUUACCAAUUCUAACACAACGAAAAUCAAACAUUACUAAAGAAGACAAUGUUAACAUUAAAAAAAACUCAAAAUCAAGAAAACUAGGUACCUCUAAAUUUGGGGUCUAGAUCUAGAUCCCCAAGAUCUCCAGUGUGAAAAAAAGGCAACAAAAAUAUAGCAGAAAGCAAAACAGCUCCACCAAACAGCAAAGCAAAUACACAUCUAAACUUCACAAACCCACUGAAUCUGCUGCCACAACUAUUAUUCUCUACAUUUUGGUCUGUACCAUUUGCACCUACUGUUGAUAUUGGUAAUUGAUGUUCAUCCUCUACUUUGCCCAUUGAAAAUAAUAGUAAUGUGGGUUUGGUUCAGCUUUGCUAAUCUCCAUUUGUAUUGUGAGUGUGUAGUGAGAGAAACUCCAUAGCUUCUUCUUCUGUUCUCUUACCCUUUUUUUUCCUGUGUGUGUUGGAGUAGAAAAAGAGAGAGAAAGUGAGAAACUUCCUUUUUGGUAAGACUCAAAUAGAGUGGUAAUAAAUAUAUGUAGUCCACUUCUUUUCUCCAACUACUUAAUUCAACAUUUUUAAUAGUAUGUCUUAAUUUAUGUGAUAAAAUUUACCAUAAUACGGAUUUAAGUUAUAAGCAUGUAUGUAUAGGGUAAAAAUUAU
rnacentral:lncRNA from 1 species